UUUAACUUGACAUGCAUACAGUGGGUCAUACAGUAUAUAAGUAGCAUAUUGUUAAAAAGUUUUCUGAAUAUAUUCUUAAACUUAAUUCAA